UACGUAGGGUGCAGGCGUUAAUCGGAAUUACUGGGCGUAAAGCGUGCGCAGGCGGUCUGCUAAGAGAGGUGUGAAAUCCCCGGGCUUAACCUGGGAACUGCGCUUCUAACUGGCAGGCUUGAGUGUGGCAGAGGGGGGUGGAAUUCCACGUGUAGCAGUGAAAUGCGUAGAUAUCAGGAGGAAUACCGAUGGCGAAGGCAGGUCUCUGGGCUAUAACUGACGCUCAUGCACGAAAGCGUGGGGAGCAAACAGG
rnacentral:rRNA from 1 species